CACGUAGGGCGCAAGCGUUGUCCGGAAUUACUGGGCGUAAAGCGUGCGUAGGCGGUUCGCUGUGUCCGAUGUGAAAGCCCCGGGCUUAACCUGGGAAUGGCAUUGGAAACUGGCGGGCUUGAGUGCGGCAGAGGGGGGUGGAAUUCCGCGUGUAGCAGUGAAAUGCGUAGAGAUGCGGAGGAACACCGAUGGCGAAGGCAGCCCCCUGGGUCGACACUGACGCUCAGGCACGAAAGCGUGGGGAGCAAACAGG
rnacentral:rRNA from 1 species